AAACAUAUACUGAAAGCGAUUACAGGAUAAGGAGUGGAUAUGAAUGGGUACCAUCGUAUGUCAAGACUGUCAGAAGGUAAUCGAGCACUACGAAAAUGAAAAGGUCGCUACUCUCUACGGCACAUGUCCAACUUGCAACAAACCAAAAGAGAAAUAAAAAGGUCGGGCUAUUGAUCGGGGACAAAAAAGAAGCAUACAGAAAGAACCAGACGAGCGAGCGUCUGGUUUUUUCUAU
rnacentral:sRNA from 1 species